GAUGAACGCUGGCGGCGUGCCUAAUACAUGCAAGUCGAGCGAACAGACGAGGAGCUUGCUCCUCUGACGUUAGCGGCGGACGGGUGAGUAACACGUGGAUAACCUACCUAUAAGACUGGGAUAACGUCGGGAAACCGGAGCUAAUACCGGAUAAUAUAUUGAACCGCAUGGUUCAAUAGUGAAAGACGGUUUUGCUGUCACUUAUAGAUGGAUCCGCGCCGCAUUAGCUAGUUGGUAAGGUAACGGCCUACCAAGGCGACGAUGCGUAGCCGACCUGAGAGGGUGAUCGGCCACACUGGAACUGAGACACGGUCCAGACUCCUACGGGAGGCAGCAGUAGGGAAUCUUCCGCAAUGGGCGAAAGCCUGACGGAGCAACGCCGCGUGAGUGAUGAAGGUCUUCGGAUCGUAAAACUCUGUUAUUAGGGAAGAACAAAUGUGUAAGUAACUAUGCACGUCUUGACGGUACCUAAUCAGAAAGCCACGGCUAACUACGUG
rnacentral:rRNA from 1 species